UACGUAGGGUCGAGCGUUGUCCGGAAUUACUGGGCGUAAAGAGCUCGUAGGUGGUUUGUCGCGUUGUUCGUGAAAACUCACAGCUCAACUGUGGGCGUGCGGGCGAUACGGGCAGACUAGAGUACUGCAGGGGAGACUGGAAUUCCUGGUGUAGCGGUGGAAUGCGCAGAUAUCAGGAGGAACACCGGUGGCGAAGGCGGGUCUCUGGGCAGUAACUGACGCUGAGGAGCGAAAGCGUGGGGGAGCGAACAGG
rnacentral:rRNA from 1 species